rnacentral:rRNA from 1 species
GUAUUUAAAGGUAGCAGAACGCUCUGCGCUAUUUAAGUGAAAACUACUAUAGCAGAGUUGAGCAUGCACACAUGAGUAACAAAGAUGUGAGAACAUUGCCGUAUAUUCAAGAGUUAAGGUUAUUGUGAAACGGCGAAGUAACGAUAAUGAGUCGUUAUUAUUAAAUUU